UCACAGAGCUUCAAGCCAAAGUUAUUGAUACUCAACAGAAGGUGAAGCUUGCAGACAUGCAGAUUGAACAGCUAAACAGAACGAAAAAGCACGCACACCUUACAGACACAGAGAUCAUGACGCUGGUAGAUGAGACUAACAUGUAUGAAGGCGUAGGAAGAAUGUUCAUUUUACAAUCCAAGGAAGUAAUUCACAACCAGCUGUUA